UACGGGGGGGGCAAGCGUUGUUCGGAAUUACUGGGCGUAAAGGGCGCGUAGGCGGCCUGCUAAGUCGGACGUGAAAUCCCUCGGCUCAACCGGGGAACUGCGUCCGAUACUGGUGGGCUCGAAUCCGGGAGAGGGAUGCGGAAUUCCAGGUGUAGCGGUGAAAUGCGUAGAUAUCUGGAGGAACACCGGUGGCGAAGGCGGCAUCCUGGACCGGUAUUGACGCUGAGGCGCGAAAGCCAGGGGAGCAAACGGG
rnacentral:rRNA from 1 species